UGGGGAAUAUUGGACAAUGGGGGGAACCCUGAUCCAGCCAUGCCGCGUGUGUGAAGAAGGCCUUUUGGUUGUAAAGCACUUUAAGCGAGGAGGAGGCUACCGAGAUUAAUACUCUUGGAUAGUGGACGUUACUCGCAGAAUAAGCACCGGCUAACUCUGUGCCAGCAGCCGCGGUAAUACAGAGGGUGCAAGCGUUAAUCGGAUUUACUGGGCGUAAAGCGCGCGUAGGUGGCCAAUUAAGUCAAAUGUGAAAUCCCCGAGCUUAACUUGGGAAUUGCAUUCGAUACUGGUUGGCUAGAGUAUGGGAGAGGAUGGUAGAAUUCCAGGUGUAGCGGUGAAAUGCGUUAGAGAUCUGGAGGAAUACCGAUGGCGAAGGCAGCCAUCUGGCCUAAUACUGACACUGAGGUGCGAAAAGCAUGGGGAGCAAAACA
rnacentral:rRNA from 1 species